CCUACGGGAGGCAGCAGUGGGGAAUAUUGGACAAUGGGCGAAAGCCUGAUCCAGCCAUGCCGCGUGUGUGAAGAAGGCCUUUUGGUUGUAAAGCACUUUAAGCGGGGAGGAGGGCACCGUGGUUAAUACCCACGAAUGUCGGACGUUACCCGCAGAAUAAGCACCGGCUAACUCUGUGCCAGCAGCCGCGGUAAUACAGAGGGUGCGAGCGUUAAUCGGAAUUACUGGGCGUAAAGCGCGCGUAGGCGGCUUGUUAAGUCGGAUGUGAAAUCCCUGGGCUCAACCUAGGCAUUGCAUUCGAUACUGGCAAGCUAGAGUAUGGGAGAGGAAGGUAGAAUUCCAGGUGUAGCGGUGAAAUGCGUAGAGAUCUGGAGGAAUACCGAUGGCGAAGGCAGCCUUCUGGCCUAAUACUGACGCUGAGGUGCGAAAGCAUGGGGAGCAAACAGGAUUAGAUACCCUGGUAGUCCAUGCCGUAAACGAUGUCAACUAGCCGUUGGGCCCCUUGAGGGCUUAGUGGCGCAGCUAACGCGANAAGUUGACCGCCUUGGGGAGUACGGGUUCGCAAGGCAAAACUUCGAAGGAUUGACGGNGNGAGAGNGACGACGGACGACGACGGAGGAGGAG
rnacentral:rRNA from 1 species